rnacentral:lncRNA from 1 species
GGAAGCUGUGAUGAAUGUUUGAGUGAGAAAAUAUGCGUGUGAGCUAGAGCAUCUGCUUCUAUUACUUAGUUUUCAAGAGGACACUGCAAGUCACGGAAAUGAGUGGGCUCAAUGCUGGAGAGGAUCCAGAGGAAGCCAGAUCGUAAGAAGACAAAGGAAUAACAGCUUGGAGAGAGCUGUGGGUGCCAGUGGAGGCCAGAAGAGGGCACUGGACCCCUGGAGCUGGAAUGACAGGUGGAUGUAGUGAGUGCUGGGGACUCAGAUUCAGAUGAGCUCUCUCUCUAGCCCCAAGAUAGGAACCUGUUGUCCUCUGAAAGUCUCUAACCAGCAGCUGACUCAGAUACAGACAUCCACAGCAAAACAGGAAUGGAGUUUGGGGAGUCUUUUGGAAGAACAUGAUGAAGGAUUGCAGCCUCUAAGGAGAUAAGAACUCCACAGGAAGACCAACAAAGUCAACUAACUCGGACCCUUGGGUUUAAGAGACUGAAUCACCAGGCAACAUGGGCUGGACCAGCCAACAUAGGGCUCUCCACAUGUAUGUAGCAGAUGUAUAGCUUGGUCUUCAUGUGCAUCUUGAACAACUGGAGUGCAGGCUAUCCCAAAGACUGUUGCCUGUAUGUGAGAUAUGUU